rnacentral:rRNA from 1 species
UACGUAGGGGGCUAGCGUUGUCCGGAAUCAUUGGGCGUAAAGCGCGUGUAGGCGGUCCGAUAAGUUCGCUGAGAAAGUCGGGGGCUCAACCCUCGGAUGCCGGUGAAUACUGUCGGGCUUGAGUACGGAAGAGGCGAGUGGAAUUCCUGGUGUAGCGGUGAAAUGCGCAGAUAUCAGGAGGAACACCAAUUGCGAAGGCAGCUCGCUGGGACGUUACUGACGCUGAGACGCGAAAGCGUGGGGAGCAAACAGG